UCCCUGGUGGUCCAGUGGUUGGGACUCUGCUCUUCAAAUGCAGAAGGCACUGGUUUGAUCCCUGGUUAGGGAU
rnacentral:tRNA from 1 species